UCAGGUAGGGAUACCCGCUGAACUUAAGCAUAUCAAUAAGCGGAGGAAAAGAAACCAACUGGGAUUGCCUUAGUAACGGCGAGUGAAGCGGCAAUAGCUCAAAUUUGAAAGCUGGCCCCUUUGGGGUCCGCGUUGUAAUUUGUAGAGGAUGAUUCGGCGAGGGCUCCCGUCUAAGUCCCCUGGAACGGGGCGUCAUAGAGGGUGAGAAUCCCGUAUGUGAUGGGUUGCCUUAGCCAUGUGAAUCUCCUUCGACGAGUCGAGUUGUUUGGGAAUGCAGCUCUAAAUGGGAGGUAAAUUUCUUCUAAAGCUAAAUACCGGCCAGAGACCGAUAGCGCACAAGUAGAGUGAUCGAAAGAUGAAAAGCACUUUGGAAAGAGAGUUAAAAAGUACGUGAAAUUGUUGAAAGGGAAGCGCUUGCAGCCAGACUUGUCCGCAGUUGCUCAGCCGGUCUCCUGACCGGCGUACUCUUCUGCGGCCAGGCCAGCAUCAGUUCGGGCGGUCGGAUAAAGACCUCGGGAAUGUAGCUCCUCUCGGGGAGUGUUAUAGCCCGGGGUGGAAUGCGGCCAGCCUGGACUGAGGAUCUCGCUUCGGCUAGGAUGCUGGCGUAAUGGCUGUAAGCGGCCCGUCUUGAAACACGGACCAAGGAGUCUAACAUCUAUGCGAGUGUUUGGGUGUCAAACCCAUACGCGUAAUGAAAGUGAACGGAGGUGGGAACCCUCACGGGUGCACCAUCGACCGAUCCUGAUGUCUUCGGAUGGAUUUGAGUAUGAGCAUAGCUGUUGGGACCCGAAAGAUGGUGAACUAUGCCUGAAUAGGGUGAAGCCAGAGGAAACUCUGGUGGAGGCUCGCAGCGGUUCUGACGUGCAAAUCGAUCGUCAAAUUUGGGUAUAGGGGCGAAAGACUAAUCGAACC
rnacentral:rRNA from 1 species